rnacentral:rRNA from 1 species
AGCGAACGCUGGCGGCAGGCUUAACACAUGCAAGUCGAACGCCAUCUUCGGAUGGAGUGGCAGACGGGUGAGUAACGCGUGGGAACGUACCCUUUGGUUCGGAAUAUUCUCGGGAAACUGGGAGCAAUACCGGAUAAGCCCUACGGGGGAAAGAUUUAUCGCCAAAGGAGCGGCCCGCGUCAGAUUAGGUAGUUGGUGGGGUAAAGGCCUACCAAGCCUACGAUCUGUAGCUGGUCUGAGAGGAUGAUCAGCCACACUGGGACUGAGACACGGCCCAGACUCCUACGGGAGGCAGCAGUGGGGAAUCUUGGACAAUGGGCGCAAGCCUGAUCCAGCCAUGCCGCGUGGAUGAUGAAGGCCUUAGGGUUGUAAAAUCCUUUCAACGGGGACGAUAAUGACGGUACCCGUAGAAGAAGCCCCGGCUAACUUCGUG